GUGAUUUUAGUAUCUUCUCAUAGGUGUGUUUGGUGGCUAGAAUGGGGACAGGGUGUAAAGGAUUGCAAAGGGACCCUGAAUAGAAUCCUACUGUUUGAUGGACAGCUAGCUUGGUGGCAGUUGAGAGUCAGCAAAGGAUUCUGGGUAGACAAUUGGGAGCUGAGGAGAAUUCUGUCCAGGACAGCACUUCCAGCUCUGGAAGGAAAACAGAAAGGAGCUUUUCCUGGGUGGCAGAGGGGAUCUGAAGCCACCAGAGGAAAAAGAGCCAGACUUCUCUAUUUGUGUACCUGCUUCCAUGGAGAGAUCCUUCCACAACCUUUCCUUCACUUGACCACAACUACCCAAGACUCAGAAGGAGUUUGGUUGGAUUCUCUCAACUGGGCCAAACUGCCCACUUCCUUUUGGGAAUGGAAGGAAAGGAGAGGGCCUGUGAUCUCACUGAUUGAACAUCUGAUGUAUAAACUCAAAGAGAUUCAGGGCAAGUCCCUAGACUUGAUUAGUCCAGAUUUACCUAUGGAACAAUUGUCCAGGAAGAGGCUACUUUGA
rnacentral:lncRNA from 1 species